rfam:Sus scrofa chromosome X.
UCCCUGGUGGUCUAGUGGUUAGGACUUAGCACUUUCACUGUUGCAGUCUAGGUUCAAUUCCUGGUCUGGGAA